rnacentral:rRNA from 1 species
CACGGAGUUAGCCGGUGCUAUUACUCUGGUACCGUCAUCCCGCUUACGCGUCUUUCGUCCCAGAUUCAGAGGUUUACGAUCCGAAAACCUUCAUCCCUCACGCGGCGUCGCUCCAUCAGGCUUUCGCCCAUUGUGGAAGAUUCCUAACUGCUGCCUCCCGUAGGAGUGGGGCCCGCGUCUCAGUGCCCCUGUGGCCGGCCACCCUCUCAGGCCGGCUAUCCGCCGUCGCCUUGGUAAGCCUUUACCUCACCAACUAGCUGAUGGAACGUAACCCCAUCCCAAAGCAAUAAAUCUUUCCACAUGACUCAAGAGUCAUGUGGGUAUCCGGUAUUAGCUGAUCUUUCGACCAGUUAUUCCAGACUUCGGGGUAGUCAGUUACGCAUUACUCACCCGUGCGCCACUCAGCCCGAAAGCCUGCGUUCGACUUGCAUGUCUUAGCACGCCGCCAGCGUUCACCUGAGCCAGGACUCAAACUCCU